UACGAAGGGGGCGAGCGUUGUUCGGAAUCACUGGGCUUAAAGCGUGCGUAGGUGGACAGAAAAGUCAGAAGUGAAAGCCCAGGGCUUAACCUUGGAACUGCUUUUGAAACUUUUUGUCUAGAAUUCGGUAGAGGCUAGUGGAAUAUCCAGUGUAGAGGUGAAAUUCGCAGAUAUUGGAUGGAACACCAGUGGCGAAGGCGACUAGCUGGGCCGAUAUUGACACUGAGGCACGAAAGCGUGGGUAGCAAACAGG
rnacentral:rRNA from 1 species